UGGCUAAGUUGUCCCGGUUG
rnacentral:siRNA from 1 species